GCGGAUAUAAUUUAGUGGUAGAAUUCCUCGUUGCCAACGAGAGAGUGGGAGUUCGAUUCUCCCUAUCCGCACAA
rnacentral:tRNA from 1 species